UACGUAGGGGGCAAGCGUUGUCCGGAUUUAUUGGGCGUAAAGAGCGUGUAGGCGGUUCGGUAGGUCCGUUGUGAAAACUCGAGGCUCAACCUCGAGGCGCCGAUGGAAACCCUCGAACUAGAGUCCGGAAGAGGAGAGUGGAAUUCCCGGUGUAGCGGUGAAAUGCGCAGAUAUCGGGAAGAACACCCGUGGCUAAGGCGGCUCUCUAGUACGGUACUGACGCUGAGACGCGAAAGCGUGGGGAGCGAACAGG
rnacentral:rRNA from 1 species